rnacentral:rRNA from 1 species
CGCGGCCUAUCAGCUUGUUGGUAAGGUAACGGCUCACCAAGGCAUCGACGGGUAGCUGGUCUGAGAGGACGAUCAGCCACACUGGGACUGAGACACGGCCCAGACUCCUACGGGAGGCAGCAGUAGGGAAUCUUGCGCAAUGGGCGAAAGCCUGACGCAGCAACGCCGCGUGGGGGAUGAAUGCCUUCGGGUUGUAAACCCCUUUCAGCAGGGACGAAAAUGACGGUACCUGCAGAAGAAGCUCCGGCCAACUACGUGCCAGCAGCCGCGGUAAUACGUAGGGAGCGAGCGUUGUCCGGAAUUAUUGGGCGUAAAGAGCUCGUAGGCGGUUCAGUAAGUCGGGUGUGAAAACUCAAGGCUCAACCUUGAGACGCCACUCGAUACUGCUGUGACUUGAGUCCGGUAGAGGAGUGUGGAAUUCCUGGUGUAGCGGUGAAAUGCGCAGAUAUCAGGAGGAACACUAGCGGCGAAGGCGGCACUCUGGGCCGGUACUGACGCUGAGGAGCGAAAGCAUGGGGAGCAAACAGGAUUAGAUACCCUGGUAGUCCAUGCCGUAAACGUUGGGCACUAGGUAUGGGAUCAUAUCAACGGAUUCCGUGCCGUAGCUAACGCAUUAAGUGCCCCGCCUGGGGAGUACGG